AUGCCAUUUUGUGUUUUCUGGACCUUUUUAUAUUUAUGUUUCCUCGAUAAACUCUUGUCUAGCAAAGAGGUCCAAACAUUUAUGUUCAUUAUCUACUGUUUCAGUUAUUACUUGCUGACUCUCUUUGCUUCAACUCCAUUCAAGAUGAUCCAAGUCAGCGUGCCUGUCUCUGAUUUUCCUGCAAUGUCACUGCUUAUGCAACACACACAGGGUUUCUUAUCUACAUCUUCAGUGCAUAUCUUGUACUAUCCAUUGAUCUAUUUAUUUAUUUUUUCACAAAGUAGACGUUGCUCACUCAAGUAUUGUUGGCAGUCUGAAACGCCUGAAACUGUACCUCCAAUUUCUGAGCUAGGUUCAGUUGCUCUCAUUGAGCUGAUGUCUCUUGACAAUUUUGUGGACUCACUGAGCAUGAAGAAGAUUGGAAUAAAAGUUCUUUUACUCGAUCAGAGUUCCAUAUCAGGCGUUGGUAAUUGGAUUGCAGAUGAGGUGCUUUACCAGUUAUCCAUACAAAAAUUUGUGAGGCCUGCAUCAAAGGCAGCACUUGAACUUCGAUUUUGUUAUGGGCCUGGAAAUGUAUGGGUCCUGGGACGGAGGGUUGGACACCUGCCCUUGAUUGCUAGAGGCUUGAUUGUACAAGAGGGGAAGGAACCAUGA
rnacentral:rRNA from 1 species